rnacentral:rRNA from 1 species
UUAGCAUAUCAAUAAGCGGAGGAAAAGAAACUAACAAGGAUUCCCCUAGUAACUGCGAGUGAAGCGGGAAAAGCUCAAAUUUAAAAUCUGGCGGUCUUUGGCCCGUCCGAGUUGUAGUCUGGAGAAGUGCUUUCCGCGCUGGACCGUGUACAAGUCUCUUGGAACAGAGCGUCAUAGAGGGUGAGAAUCCCGUCUUUGACACGGACUACCAGUGCUUUGUGAUGUGCUCUCAAAGAGUCGAGUUGUUUGGGAAUGCAGCUCAAAAUGGGUGGUAAAUUCCAUCUAAAGCUAAAUAUUGGCGAGAGACCGAUAGCGAACAAGUACCGUGAGGGAAAGAUGAAAAGCACUUUGGAAAGAGAGUUAAACAGUACGUGAAAUUGCUGAAAGGGAAACGCUUGAAGUCAGUCGCGUUGGCCAGGACUCAGCCUUGCUUUUGCUUGGUGCAUUUUCUGGUUGACGGGCCAGCAUCGAUUUUGACCGCUGGAAAAAGGUUAGGGGAAUGUGGCACCUUCGGGUGUGUUAUAGCCCUUAGUCGCAUACAGUGGUUGGGAUCGAGGACCGCAGCACGCCUUUAUGGCCGGGGUUCGCCCACGUUCGUGCUUAGGAUGCUGGCGUAAUGGCUUUAAACGACCCGUCUUGAAACACGGACCAAGGAGUCUAACAUGCCUGCGAGUGUUUGGGUGGAAAACCCGAGCGCGUAAUGAAAGUGAAAGUUGAGAUCCCUGUCGUGGGGGAGCAUCGACGCCCGGACCUGAACUUCGGUGAUGGAUCUGCGGUAGAGCAUGUAUGUUGGGACCCGAAAGAUGGUGAACUAUGCCUGAAUAGGGUGAAGCCAGAGGAAACUCUGGUGGAGGCUCGUAGCGAUUCUGACGUGCAAAUCGAUCGUCAAAUUUGGGUAUAGGGGCGAAAGACUAAUCGAACCAUCUAGUAGCUGGUUCCUGCCGAGUCCCCCCUUUUAAAGAAUAAA